rnacentral:rRNA from 1 species
GAUGAACGCUAGCGGCAGGCCUAAUACAUGCAAGUCGAACGGUGUCUUCGGACAUAGUGGCGCACGGGUGCGUAACACGUAUGCAACCUACCUUACAUUGGGGGAUAGCCUUUCGAAAGGGAGAUUAAUACCGCCUAAGACAGUAGCUGGGCAUCCAGCAGCUGUUAAAGAUUUAUCGAUAUAAGCUGGGCAUGCGUCCAAUUAGCUAGUUGGUGAGGUAACGGAUCACCAAGGCAAUGAUUGGUAGGGGAACUGAGAGGUCAAUCCCCCACACUGGCACUGAGAUACGGGCCAGACUCCUACGGGAGGCAGCAGUAGGGAAUAUUGGGCAAUGGACGCAAGUCUGACCCAGCCAUGCCGCGUGCAGGAUGAAGGCGUUAUGCGUUGUAAACUGCUUUUAUACAGGAAGAAACGACUCUUGCGAGAGGCAUUGACGGUACUGUAUGAAUAAGCACCGGCUAACUCCGUGCCAGCAGCCGCGGUAAGAC